rnacentral:rRNA from 1 species
CAGUAGCCACGGUAACACGUAGGGUGCAAGCGUUAAUCGGAAUUACUGGGCGUAAAGCGCGCGUAGGUGGUUUGUUAAGUUGGAUGUGAAAUCCCCGGGCUCAACCUGGGAACUGCAUCCAAAACUGGCAGGCUAGAGUAGGGCAGAGGGUGGUGGAAUUUCCUGUGUAGCGGUGAAAUGCGUAGAUAUAGGAAGGAACACCAGUGGCGAAGGCGACCACCUGGGCUCAUACUGACACUGAGGUGCGAAAGCGUGGGGAGCAAACAGGAUUAGAUACCCCUGUAGUCCCUGUCUCUUAUAA